rnacentral:rRNA from 1 species
AGCGAACGCUGGCGGCAGGCUUAACACAUGCAAGUCGAGCGGGCACUUUCGGGUGUCAGCGGCGGACGGGUGAGUAACGCGUGGGAACGUGCCCUCUGGUUCGGAAUAACUCAGGGAAACUUGAGCUAAUACCGGAUACGCCCUUUUGGGGAAAGGCUUGCUGCCGGAGGAUCGGCCCGCGUCUGAUUAGCUAGUUGGUGAGGUAACGGCUCACCAAGGCGACGAUCAGUAGCUGGUCUGAGAGGAUGAUCAGCCACACUGGGACUGAGACACGGCCCAGACUCCUACGGGAGGCAGCAGUGGGGAAUAUUGGACAAUGGGCGCAAGCCUGAUCCAGCCAUGCCGCGUGAGUGAUCAAGACCUUAGGGUUGUAAAGCUCUUUUAUCCGGGACGAUAAUGACGGUACCGGAGGAAUAAGCCCCGGCUAACUUCGUG